UUACCUCGCGUGCAGAGCAGAUUCCACAUGGGAUAGCGGGCAAGUGAAUUCUGUCUUAGCAGAAGCUUUAAAAUACAAACAACCUGGCAAAAUACAAUUUUCCAACAGUGUAUCAAUCACUCAUGUACAUAACGAGCACACACAAACCCCAGUUCAGCACUCGCAAUGUAAAAAGUAAAACAAGGUGUCACUGAUGAGCACACACAAGGUGUCACUGAUGUACAUAACGAGCACACACAAAGUAAAAAAAAAGGCGAGUUCACCGGUCGCUGGACAAAUAAGUACGUACUACUGUAGAUGACUUUCGCUAACGGUCGUCAGCUGCAUCUUAUUUCCUUUCUCCUUCCUCCGAUGACAUGAAGUCUCUUCUCCCAGACACGAGCACACAACAGUUUAGCAGGGGACGUGUACUGGAGACGGAACAGUUAGUGCGCCUCAUCUACUGCAAGCGGCACGCUCUU
rnacentral:lncRNA from 1 species